rnacentral:tRNA from 1 species
GCCCGGGUGGCGGAAUGGUAUACGCAACAGACUUAAAAUCUGUGACCCGUAAGGGUGUGUGGGUUCGAGUCCCACCCCGGGCACCA